GAGACGAAGAAGCUUUCGGAAAGGCUGCUUUCAUGGACAGCGACGCCGAAAUAAGAACCGGCUCGGUGGUGGCCGGGUCGAGCAGCAGUGACCUCGGACGCCAGUCCGGCGAUUCUGGGCCGUCAAAUAAGUGGAACGACCAACCUACUGUUUCCACGAUGGCGGUGUCUCCACCGAAGACGGCCCGAGUCCCGGCGAAAGGCAGCCACAGAGUCUCGUGCUUGGUCGACGGGUGCACGGCAGAUCUCAGCAAGGGCAGGGAGUAUCACCGGCGUCACAAGGUCUGCGAGCUGUACUUCAAGACGCCGGUGUUGAUGGUCCACCGGCAACAGCAGCGCUUCUGCCAGCAAUGUAGCAUAUUUCAAUUGGUAGAAGAAUUUGAUGAGGUAAAGAGAAGCUGUCGGAGGAAACCUCAGCCAUGUUCUAUAAAUCCAAGGAAUUUGUUUCCAGAUCAUCAAGGUUUGCUCUUUGUCGAAACAACCUUUGGCGUAAGAAAUCUCUCACUAGCCCACAAUAUGCAUGAAACUUUCCAUCUACUGCGAGACUGCCAUCGGCAGCAAAGACCCCCCAGAUUUGUGCAGGUCAGCUGAAUCUUAGCACAAUCACUCACUCCUGUGGGCCGCAGCAGUGAGAUGUUCAAUGAUGGAAUAAAGCCAUUAAAGCAAUCCUUUGACUCCCACCGUGCUCUCUCUCUCUCAUCUGUCAUCUUCAACCCAGACCUCGAACACCAGCCCGAGUCAUACGGUGCCACCAGCUGAUGGAAUCCCGGCGGCGGCUCAGCCUUUUGUUUCAGCUUUGCAAUACUGCGGUCUCUCCCACAAGCAUCAAGCAACGCAACACCAACUGCUCUUCCAAGCGCAGGCACGGAGGACAGCAAUCUGCGGACUAUUUUGGUUUCUGGUCGUGCUGAUGAUUCUGUGAUUGAUUCCCAGAACAUAUUCCAUGUUGCAAGUGAAGGUUUCUCGGAGGAGACCAGCCGAAAUCUUCCCUUUUCUUGGCCUUGAUGAUUGGCUACUGUUGAUCACAAUGGAGUCAUGUUCCUUAUUAUCAUUUAUGAUUCGGGUCCACGUCCGCCGUAAUCUUGACCCAAGUCAAGUCAAACUCAAGUCAGAUUGUAAUGAUGCAAUCCGUCUACUGGAUCACCAAUCAAGAUGGUUACCAUCAAAUCAACGGCGACAGGAUUCGGGUUCGUAGUAUCCGUUCGCUUCAAACUCCGUUCGGCUGCGUGUUGGGCGCCGCCCUCGAAACGGAGAAGAAAACCGCCGCAAAGAUCGCUCAAUUCCUUAACGAACCCUUGAAUCCCUUUAAAUUCGAAAAAGGAAGCGAAUCGUAAUCGAGAUUCCUUCCGUUUAAUCGUCGGAAAUCACGAGCAUGAUGAUCUUGGAAGCGGCGGUGGCGGAGGAAGAAGAGGAUGCGAGGCCGAUGUUGGAGCGGCGGGGAGAGCCCUUGAUGGGGAGCGUCGGAGGGGAUGUGCAUUUGAUUCCGCCAUCCAACUUCGGGGUUCCCUAUUUCGGACAAUUUUCCCUUCUUGGAGUCCCUCAACUUGCGAUCCAUCGUGUACUUGUGCCCGGAGCCGUACCCGGCGGCUAAUGCUGAGUUCGUGAGGUCUCAGGGGAUUCGGCUUUUCCAGUUCGGGAUCGAAGGGAGCAGGGAGGCAUUUGCAACUAUAUCUAACCAUACCAUCAUGGAGACUCUUGGAGUCCUACUUGAUGUAAGGAACCAUCCGAUUUUAAUUCACUGCAAACGGGGAAAGCACCGUACUGGUUGUCUUGUUGGCUGUUUCAGAAAAUUAUAAAAUUGGUGCUUAUCCUCUGUGCAUGAAGAAUACAUAAAAUUUGCAUCGGUCAAGGCACGGCGUCGGACAUGAAAUUUAUUGAGAUGUUUGAUGUUUCGUGUAUGAUGCAAUGUGUUCUUCGUAUCUUGUACCAGUACCAUGGCUGUGGCAACCACACUCGGCGCCUUGCUUAUCAAAAGACAUCAUAAUUGCCCAUUCGGCUUCUCUGAUUUUGCAUGGGCAAGGAGAAGCAUCUAACAAGAUUCUCCAUGCACUUGCCGAUCUUAGUUCUCUCAUCAUCUUUUCUGUACAUCAUUCUAGUUAGAAAAUUAUCAUACUUUAAAGAGAAGUCUUUUAGGUGGAAGAACUGCAUCUCUUGAUGAACAUAUUGAUCAGAUAUAGAUUUUUUUUUGUCUAGCUUUUAUUCCUUGAGAAACUUACAGUGUUUAAACGGUUUAAACGCAUACGAAGAUCAC